rnacentral:rRNA from 1 species
ACGAACGCUGGCGGCAUGCCUAACACAUGCAAGUCGAACGAGACCUUCGGGUCUAGUGGCGCACGGGUGCGUAACGCGUGGGAACCUGCCCUUAGGUUCGGAAUAACUCCCCGAAAGGGGUGCUAAUACCGGAUAAUGUCUUCGGACCAAAGAUUUAUCGCCUUUGGAUGGGCCCGCGUUGGAUUAGCUAGUUGGUAGGGUAAAAGCCUACCAAGGCGACGAUCCAUAGCUGGUCUGAGAGGAUGAUCAGCCACACUGGGACUGAGACACGGCCCAGACUCCUACGGGAGGCAGCAGUGGGGAAUAUUGGACAAUGGGCGAAAGCCUGAUCCAGCAAUGCCGCGUGAGUGAUGAAGGCCUUAGGGUUGUAAAGCUCUGUUACCCGGGAUGAUAAUGACAGUACCGGGAGAAUAAGCUCCGGCUAACUCCGUG